UGGGGGAUAACACUUAGAAAUAGGUGCUAAUACCGCAUAAGCGCACAGCUUCGCAUGAAGCAGUGUGAAAAACUCCGGUGGUAUACGAUGGACCCGCGUCUGAUUAGCUUGUUGGCGGGGUAGAGGCCCACCAAGGCGACGAUCAGUAGCCGGCCUGAGAGGGUGAACGGCCACAUUGGGACUGAGACACGGCCCAAACUCCUACGGGAGGCAGCAGUGGGGAAUAUUGCACAAUGGGGGAAACCCUGAUGCAGCGACGCCGCGUGAGUGAAGAAGUAUUUCGGUAUGUAAAGCUCUAUCAGCAGGAAAGAAAAUGACGGUACCUGACUAAGAAGCCCCGGCUAACUACGUGCCAGCAGCCGCGGUAAUACGUAGGGGGCAAGCGUUAUUCGGAUUUACUGGGUGUAAAGGGAGCGUAGACGGUGAAGCAAGUCUGAAGUGAAAGGCGGGGGCUCAACCCCCGGACUGCUUUGGAAACUGUUUGACUGGAGUGCAGGAGAGGUAAGUGGAAUUCCUAGUGUAGCGGUGAAAUGCGUAGAUAUUAGGAGGAACACCAGUGGCGAAGGCGGCUUACUGGACUGUAACUGACGUUGAGGCUCGAAAGCGUGGGGAGCAAACAGGAUUAGAUACCCUGGUAGUCCACGCGGUAAACGAUGAUCACUAGGUGU
rnacentral:rRNA from 1 species